CGGCGGAGAUGUUGGGUUAGUCCCGCAACGAGCGCACCCACGUCCUCAGCUUGCCAUCAUUCAUGUUGGGCACUCUGGGGAGACUGCCGGUGAUAAGCCGCGAGGAAGGUGUGGAUGACGUCAAGUCCUCAUGGCCCUUACGGGCUGGGCUACACACGUGCUACAAUGGCGGUGACAGAGGGACGCCAACCCGCAAGGGUGCGCCAAUCUCGAAAAGCCGUCUCAGUUCGGAUUGCACUCUGCAACUCGAGUGCAUGAAGUUGGAAUCGCUAGUAAUCGUGGAUCAGCACGCCACGGUGAAUACGUUCCCGG
rnacentral:rRNA from 1 species